GAUGAACGCUGGCGGCGUGCCUAAUACAUGCAAGUCGAGCGAACAGACGAGGAGCUUGCUCCUCUGACGUUAGCGGCGGACGGGUGAGUAACACGUGGAUAACCUACCUAUAAGACUGGGAUAACUUCGGGAAACCGGAGCUAAUACCGGAUAAUAUAUUGAACCGCAUGGUUCAAUAGUGAAAGACGGUUUUGCUGUCACUUAUAGAUGGAUCCGCGCCGCAUUAGCUAGUUGGUAAGGUAACGGCUUACCAAGGCAACGAUGCGUAGCCGACCUGAGAGGGUGAUCGGCCACACUGGAACUGAGACACGGUCCAGACUCCUACGGGAGGCAGUAGUAAGGAAUCUUCCGCAAUGGGCGAAAGCCUGACGGAGCAACGCCGCGUGAGUGAUGAAGGUCUUCGGAUCGUAAAACUCUGUUAUUAGGGAAGAACAAAUGUGUAAGUAACUAUGCACGUCUUGACGGUACCUAAUCAGAAAGCCACGGCUAACUACGUG
rnacentral:rRNA from 1 species